AAGACGCCUGUUAAUUAGUUAACACAAACCUGGUGUGUUGGAAGGAAAAAGAGAAGAACAAAAACAGCUAAGACGUGUCUUUACUACGACUGAAAAGACAGGGGCGGUAUAACACUGCUACCUGGAGGUGGCUGAGCACGGUCCACACUGCAUGAAGUAGGGAGACGAAACUGAAUCCCUGUAAGGAGGAAGCAACAUCAGUUAGAAAGAAAACAUGCAGAAACUUUAAAUAUUCAUCCAAAGGAGAACUGCCUGAAUGUACGCCCCUAUCUUUUGACCAAAAUCUCUCCUGCGGUAUCCCCGUCUCCAUAUGGAAGCAUCGGAGCUGGCUCUGUCAUGCAUCUUCUUACUGCAGCAACCCCCAGCACAUCUCACAGUGGAGGUCCGAAAUAACUCCCACAGAGGAUCCAGCUGUGUGAAUCCACACACGGUAUUAAAGAGCGACAUACCUGUAAAGGUAGCCCUACCUUUGGGAGUCUAGAUGGGGUCUCUGCAUGGCUGAUUUAAGGACAAGAGCAUCAGGACGAAUGGCUGCCUGAG